rnacentral:rRNA from 1 species
AGCGAACGCUGGCGGCAGGCCUAACACAUGCAAGUCGAACGAACUCUUCGGAGUUAGUGGCGGACGGGUGAGUAACACGUGGGAACGUGCCUUUUGGUUCGGAAUAACUCAGGGAAACUUGUGCUAAUACCGAAUGUGCCCUUCGGGGGAAAGAUUUAUCGCCAUUAGAGCGGCCCGCGUCUGAUUAGCUAGUUGGUGAGGUAACGGCUCACCAAGGCGACGAUCAGUAGCUGGUCUGAGAGGAUGACCAGCCACACUGGGACUGAGACACGGCCCAGACUCCUACGGGAGGAAGCAGUGGGGAAUCUUGCGCAAUGGGCGAAAGCCUGACGCAGCCAUGCCGCGUGAAUGAUGAAGGUCUUAGGAUUGUAAAAUUCUUUCACCGGGGACGAUAAUGACGGUACCCGGAGAAGAAGCCCCGGCUAACUUCGUG